UACGUAGGGUGCGAGCGUUAAUCGGAAUUACUGGGCGUAAAGCGUGCGCAGGCGGUAAUGUAAGACAGAUGUGAAAUCCCCGGGCUCAACCUGGGAACUGCAUUGGUGACUGGCAGGCUAGAGUAUGGCAGAGGGGGGUAGAAUUCCACGUGUAGCAGUGAAAUGCGUAGAGAUGUGGAGGAAUACCGAUGGCGAAGGCAGCCCCCUGGGCCAAUACUGACGCUCAUGCACGAAAGCGUGGGGAGCAAACAGG
rnacentral:rRNA from 1 species